rnacentral:misc_RNA from 1 species
UAGAAAAGGGGGAUAUUUAUCUCUUUGUUGUCCCCGUUCAGCGGUAGCUGUCGGGUUGAUGUGUGAUUUGUCGCUGAUUUGUCACCAUCAUAAAUACACUUUACGUUUGUCAGUCAUCUAAAAUUAUCCAUAUUA